rnacentral:misc_RNA from 1 species
GAUGAAGAACGUAGUGAAAUGCGAUACGUAGUGUGAAUUGCAGAAUUCAGUGAAUCAUCGAAUCUUUGAACGCACAUUGCACCUCUCGGUAUUCCGGGAGGUAUGCCUGUUCGAGCGUCAUUUGUACCCUCAAGCUCUGCUUGGUGUUGGGUGUUUGUUCCGCCUCUGUGUGUGAACUCGCCUCAAACAAUUGGCAGCCGGCGUACUUGUUUCGGAGCGCAGCACAUUUUGCGAUCCAGAUCAACGUACAGCGGCAUCCAAGAAGCCUUAUUUAACGCUCUUGACCUCGGAUCAGGUAGGGAUACCCGCUGAACUUAAGCAUAUCAAUAAGCGGAGGA